GAUGAACGCUGGCGGCGUGCCUUAUACAUGCAAGUCGAGCGGGCUUAGACCCACGUCAAACGGGUGAGUAUCACGUAGGACCUUUCCUUGUCACAGGAAUAACCCUCCUAAAGGAGGGCUAAUACCUGAUGUGAUCGCAAGAUUAAAGGGUAACCGCAAGGAUUACCGGACAACAAGAGGCCUGCGGCCUAUCAGCUAGAUGUCGGAGUAAAUGCCCACCACAGCUAUGACGUGUAGAGGGUCGUAUGAGGAUGAUCAGUCACAUGCGAACGGAGGCACGGGCACAGAUUCUACGGGAAGGAGCAGUAGGGAAUCGUGCGAAAGGGGCGAAAGCGAAGAGGAGCGACGCAGCGUGAGGGAUGGUGGCUUUCGAGGAGUAAACCGCUUUUAUAAGGGACGAACUUUGACGGUACCUUAUGAAUAAGAGGUGGCUAACUCUGUG
rnacentral:rRNA from 1 species